UACGUAGGGGACAAGCGUUGUCCGGAAUUAUUGGGCGUAAAGCGCGUGUAGGCGGCCCUGUAAGUCCGUUGUGAAAGUCAAAGGCUCAACCUUUGAAAGCCGAUGGAUACUGCAGGGCUAGAGUCCGGAAGAGGCGAGUGGAAUUCCUGGUGUAGCGGUGGAAUGCGCAGAUAUCAGGAGGAACACCAAUAGCGAAGGCAGCUCGCUGGGACGGUACUGACGCUAAGGCGCGAAAGCGUGGGGAGCGAACAGG
rnacentral:rRNA from 1 species